rnacentral:rRNA from 1 species
GGCGGCAUAGAGAUGAUCGACAUCGAAAAUCCUGAUCAUGUCGAGGGUGACGACAGAGACGAGAUCGAAGCACAACCCGCUCGCCCUCGGUAUCGGGCAUGGAUAGAUGCCAUAAAUAGGAUCAUGAUGCCUCCCGACGACAUCCCUAACCCGGAUGGAAUAGUUGCAGCAGCAGAGCCCGAGCAAUGUAGCAGGCAUGCCUGCUUGUGCUAUGCGGUCAUCUGUGAGCUCGUUAUCGCCACCGUUUUCAUCACCCUGAUGAUGCUUAGUUUACGGUUUCACCCGACAACCUCUGGCGGUCGAGCGUUGCAUGUCAUAGCACAUGUCAUGGAUAUGCUAGGCUUGUUCAUUAUGGUACUUGGGUUCAUCCUUAUCCUUCAUUUUGUACUCGAGGCAGCUAUUGGAAACCCCGAGGGGUAUAAAAUGAUA